rnacentral:rRNA from 1 species
UGCAAGUCGAGCGAACCCUUCGGGGUUAGCGGCAAACGGGUGAGUAACGCGUGAACAAUUUUCUCUUAAGACGGGCACAGCAUCGUGAAAACGAUGGUAAUUCCCGAUACGGUCAUUGAAUCGCAUGGUUCGAUGAUUAAAGGUGGGGACCUUCGGGCCUACCGCUUUUGAAUGAGUUCGCGUCCUAUCAGCUUGUUGGUGAGGUAAUGGCUCACCAAGGCAUUUGACGGGUAGCUGGUCUGAGAGGAUGAUCAGCCACACUGGGACUGAGACACUGCCCAGACUCCUACGGGAGGCUGCAGUCGAGAAUCUUUUUCAAUGGACGAAAGUCUGAAAAUGCGACGCCGCGUGCAGGACGAAGGCUUUAGGGUCGUAAACUGCUUUUAUCAGGAAAGAACCCUGUACGGUUAAUAUCCGUACAGCUGACGGUACCUGAUGAAUAAGCCACGGCCAAAUACGUGCCAGCAGCCGCGGUAAUACGUAUGUGGCAAGCGUUACUCGGAAUUAUUGGGUGUAAAGGGCAAGUAGGCGGUCUAUCAAGCGAGGGGUGAAAUCUUCCGACUCAAUCGGAAAACUGCCUUUCGAACUGAUAGACUUGAGGCCAGAAGAGGGAAACGGAAUUAGCAGUGUAAGGGUGAAAUCUGUAGAUAUUGCUAAGAACACCAGCGGCGAAGGCGGUUUCCUGGUCUGGAUCUGACGCUAAAUUGCGAAAGCUAGGGUAGCAAACAGAAUUAGAUACUCUGGUAGUCCUAGCCGUAAACGAUGAGUACUAGGUGUCGGGACUUCGGUCUCGGUGUCGCAGCUAACGCAAUAAGUACUCCACCUGGGGACUACGGCCGCAAGGCUAAAACUCAAAGGAAUUGACGGGGACCCGCACAAGCGGUGGAACAUGUGGUUUAAUUCGAUGCUACGCGAAGAACCUCACCAAGGCUUGACAUGCUCGUCGUACCUUACUUAAAGGUUUGGGUCAUUUAGUUGGACGAUGCACAGGUGCUGCAUGGCUGUCGUCAGCUCGUGUCGUGAGAUGUUGGGUUAAGUCCCGCAACGAGCGCAACCAUUGCCCUAUGUUGCCACUUCAUCUUCGGAUGGAAGCACUCUUAGGGGACUGCCUGGGAUAACCAGGAGGAAGGUGGAGAUGACGUCAAGUCAGUACGGCCCUUAUGCCUUGGGCUACACACGUGUUACAAUGCCAGAUACAAAGGGUUGCCAACCCGCGAGGGGGAGCUAAUCUCAAAAAGUCUGGCCCAGUUCGGAUAGGAGUCUGCAAUUCGACUCCUUGAAGCCGGAAUCGCUAGUAAUGGAAGAUCAGCUCGCUUCCGUGAAUACGUUCCCGGGUCUUGUACACACCGCCCGUCAAGCGAUGAAAGCUGGGGG